GACGAACGCUGGCGGCGUGCUUAACACAUGCAAGUCGAACGGAAAGGCCCUGCUUGCAGGGUACUCGAGUGGCGAACGGGUGAGUAACACGUGGGUGCUCUGCCCUGCACUUCGGGAUAAGCUUGGGAAACUGGGUAUAAUACCGGAUAGGAGCUAUCUUUAGUGUGGUGGUUGGAAAGUUUUUUCGGUGUAGGAUGAGCUGGCGGCCUAUGAGCUUGUUGGAGGGGUAAAGGCCUACCAAGGCGGCGACGGGUAGCCGGCCGGAGAGGGUGUACAGCCACACUGGAAGUGAGAGAAGGGGGAGAAUGAUACGGGAGGCAGCAGCGGGGAAUCUUGGACAAUGGGCGGAAGGAUGAUACAGCUAUAGCGUGUGGGGGAAGAAGGGCUUCGGGUCGUAAAGCCUUUUUGUGGGGAAAGAAAAGAAGCAGGUUAAUACCCCGCUGUUCUGAAGGUACCAAAAGAAUAAGCACCGGCUAACUUCGUG
rnacentral:rRNA from 1 species